rnacentral:rRNA from 1 species
AUUGAACGCUGGCGGUAGGCUUAACACAUGCAAGUCGAGCGAGCGGCGGACGGGUGAGUAAUGCAUCGGAAUCUGCCUUAUGGAUGGGGAUAACGUUUGGAAACUGUAGCUAAUACCGCAUACCAUCAGAUUUUCCCAGAUGGGAUUAGCUAGUGGGUGGGGGAACGGCUCACCAAGGCGACGAUCCCUAGCUGGUCUGAGAGGAUGAACAGCCACACUGGAACUGAGACACGGUCCAGACGCCUACGGGAGGCAGCAGUGGGGAAUAUUGGACAAUGGGCGCAAGCCUGAUGCAGCCAUGCCGCGUGUGGGAAGAAGGCCUUCGGGUUGUAAAGCACUUUCAGCGGGGAAGCGUUACUCGCAGAAGAAGCACCGGCUAACUUCGUGCCAGCAGCCGCGGUAAUAC